AUAAAAUACAUUAUAAUAGAGUCAAAAUUAGUAAGACCAUUACAGAUAAUCAUGUUGGUUAUGUUAAUUACUUCAUUUAUCAAUGGCAUCAGAGCCAAUCAGCCAAAAAGCAACAAAAAUUCACAGCCCAACAGGGAGGAGCCCCAGGUUUUUCUAUUACCCUUGAGCAGGUGACACUUAACAGUGCAUUCUUUCUAUUGGCAGACAACACAACACCUGAACUGCAAGCAACAGAGCAAGCCAGCAAGAAGCACAAGCACCCUCAUCAAAUCAUCAUUGGACCAUUGAUCUGAAUGGAAGCUCCGGAGUUGUCUCCAAAGAAUCGCUAAUUAAGCGUUACAAGCCUAUAUGGCGUAUUCUAUUGAUCUCUAAUCUCGCUCUUGGAGCUUACGUGUUUGCUAAGGCAAGGGGGAAAAAUACGAAUAUAUGAGGAAAGAAACCCACAAAAAAAGAUUUGGAAGAGAGCCCAGCCCCAGAGGAAAAAUUCUUGGAUUCAACAAAUCUCACAGUUCUUGAAACUCUGCCCCCUGCUCCAGAUGUUGUAAAAGCAAAGGAGCCCAUACCUGAAGAUCAGCAGCGUGAGCUUUUCAAGUGGAUAUUGGAAGAGAAGAAAAAUCAAGCACAGAGACUCUCAGUAGAAGAAACAAAUUGAUGAAGAGAAAGCCAUCCUCAAACAGUUCAUAAGGGCAAAGUUUAUUCCAACUUUUUAACUGAUGUUUCUAACCUGAUUUGUUCUUGCAAAAAAUACGAAGUUGGAAAGGAUUUGCUACUCUUCAAUUGUUAGACAGAGAAUCUGAAAUUCCCAUCAAUAUGAAUGACUUUACAUUCUUCUUGAAUGUUUUUGGGCCCCGGCUACAUACCAGAAAUUAACAUCGAUAAACGGUAUGUUGGGUCUUAUUUAUUGAUAAUCAUACCUUGCAGCUGAUAGAAUUACAGCAAGAUAAACAAAACUGCAGCCUUGAGAUGAAAGCUCGGACAUAAAGCACCGGUUUCAUUUGUCAGGCAGCAACAAAUGAUCAGCAUUGGCUUUCAGCUUCAACAUGGAGACCCAAAGGAUUCUUAAAAAUCAAAUCAUAUGUUUCUAUCAAAAACAGUUAAGCGAAGACAGGCACCAAUCCAUCAAAUGGAGCAUUUAUCUUGCAUUAAGCCAGAUCCUUGUCCUUUGCGUUCAUUUUCUGAGCAUCAGACUUCUCGAUUUUAGAAUUAUUUUUUCUUCCUCCCGUCUCUGUAUAUAUGAAUUUAUCAGGAAAUUUUUCCAAGCUGAAGGCUUCCAUGGACAGGACACUAAUGAUCUGAGCUAUUUUGCGAAUAAGACAAACAGAGAACCGGCUUCCCAAAGAGCUAGUUAAAAAAUAGUUACGAAGGUUGUGGGGACCCCCCACCAUUUCUGCAAGUCCACCACAACCUCACUCUUCCAUCCAAUCCCAUUUUUCACAUCCUUGAAUCCAUACAGCCACUUGCCAGAAUUGAAGCAAUCUUUAUAGAUUUUUCCACUAUCCUACUUCGCAAAGCUUUUAUCUUUGAUGCCAGGAACCAUCCAAGUUUCAGUUCUGGAAUUCAUGGCUCUUCAAUCAUCAUCCUCCCUGGCAGAAAUGUCCAUAAAGAUUUCCAUGAGUAAAAGAGAGUACCAAACUUGGGAGAAAGGGGAUUUCUAUUUGUAAGUUGUAACAUUACUCAUACUUUUAUAGUCUGGUUUCAGAAUUUUGCUGUUUAACAAUUUCAGAAUUUUGAUAGUUAUACUUCAGGAUGCUCAAGGAAAAGAAAUAUCAAAUACAGGUUUUACGCAAUUCUUUCCCGUUUUGCUUCCAUCUAUCAGGACUGAAGCUCUGAGGCUUAUUAGGAUGAUCCUGUUUAAUGGCAGCUGUUGAAACCAGGUUGGUGUUGAGAAGGGCAUUUGGGAUGAAAUCUUUCCCUUUGAAGGAGUUGGCUAUGUGCAUAUGAAGUUGCAGUUUGUCCUUAAUGAAGAAGACCGCAACCGUAUCCAGAUCAUGAACGAGUUCGUUCUUCGUCCUCAGGAUCGGACUUUCCUUUAUUAAAAAGAAUGGAGGGAACAGUUGGACUUGUACCAGCAUGAAUCACUUCAUUUUAAAGAAGGGUUCUGUGUGAAUCUUGAGAUAAUAGAACAAUGCAGAAAUCAAUGAAAGCUCCGCAGAUAAGGAAAAUGCAAAACCAGCCAAAUUUUUUUUCAGCUUUCUGCUAAAAACUUGAAUCCGUUGAACUGGUUAAGCAAGGUAAAGAUGACGCAUCAAUGCUACAAAGCAUAGUCGCAUGUGUUGGCCUUCCAAUGGCAGAAAUCAAGUGCAGUCCAAAUUUACCAUAAAAUUU